rnacentral:rRNA from 1 species
GAUGAACGCUGGCUACAGGCUUAACACAUGCAGGUCGAGGGGAAACGACGGGGAAGCUUGCUUCCCCGGGCGUCGACCGGCGCACGGGUGAGUAACGCGUAUCCAACCUGCCUCUGACUGAGGGAUAACCCGUCGAAAGUCGGCCUAAUACCUCAUGGCAUCGUCUGCGGGCAUCCAACGACGAUUAAAGAUUUCAUCGGUCAGGGAUGGGGAUGCGUCUGAUUAGCUUGUUGGCGGGGUAACGGCCCACCAAGGCUACGAUCAGUAGGGGUUCUGAGAGGAAGGGCCCCCACAUUGGAACUGAGACACGGUCGAAACUCCUACGGGAGGCAGCAGUGAGGGAUAUUGGUCAAUGGGCGGGAGCCUGAACCAGCCAAGUAGCGUGCAGGAUGACGGCCCUAUGGGUUGUAAACUGCUUUUAUGCGGGGAUAAAGUGAGGGACGUGUCCUUCAUUGCAGGUACCGCAUGAAUAAGGACCGGCUAAUUCCGUG